rnacentral:rRNA from 1 species
GACGUAGGGCGCGAGCGUUGUCCGGAUUUAUUGGGCGUAAAGAGCUCGUAGGCGGCUUGUUGCGUCGUCCGUGAAAACCUGUGGCUCAACUACAGGCUUGCGGUCGAUACGGGUCGGGCUGGAGUUCGGUAGGGGAGACUGGAAUUCCUGGUGUAGCGGUGAAAUGCGCAGAUAUCAGGAGGAACACCGUAGUGAAGGCGGCUCGUGGGACCGUAC